UCUUUCAGGUAAAAAGGCUGACUGCACCCUAUCCAUGAGUGAUGUGGAUAUUCUGGAUCUGAUGACCGGAAAGUUGAACCCACAGACGGCGUUCUUCAAAGGGAAACUGAAGAUUACAGGGAACAUGGGCAUGGCCAUGAAGCUGCAGAACCUCCAGCUUACACCAGGCAAAGCCAAACUGUGAGAACCUUAGCAAGCUCUAAUCAUCUGAGCAACACUUAAGGAAGCAAUGAGUUAUAAUUCCUCCUCUUGAAUUCAUGUAUUUUGUGUUUGAGCUUAAUAUAAAGUCCGUAAAGUUUUAAUUUCAGCUGCAACACAACUGUUCAUGUUGGAUCUCCACACAUCAGCUUAAAGUCUGAUUUUUGCUCGCACUGUGAGCUGCUGCAGUAGUGCAUUUACAGUUAGUGUUAUUCCUCUAUGUUUACAUAUUCAUGGUUUAAAAUCACUAACUGUGCCUUUAAAUGUCAUCUAUAUAAUUAUCUAUCAUUAAGCUCGAGGUAGAUUUUUUUUUUGUUGGCCUCAGCCAGUUUGAUAGAUACGUCUGUAUACAACAUGCGUCUGUAAAUGAAAACAGUUUUCUAAUUUUUAAAAAUAAAUCUUGUGCUAACAUUA